AUCUUCAUUAGCUUGCUUUUGAAGAUCAGCGGCGGACGGGUGAGUAACACGUGGGCAACCUGCCUGUAAGACUGGGAUAACUUCGGGAAACCGGAGCUAAUACCGGAUAAUCCUUUUCCUCACAUGAGGGAAAGCUGAAAGACGGUUUCGGCUGUCACUUACAGAUGGGCCCGCGGCGCAUUAGCUAGUUGGUGAGGUAACGGCUCACCAAGGCAACGAUGCGUAGCCGACCUGAGAGGGUGAUCGGCCACACUGGGACUGAGACACGGCCCAGACUCCUACGGGAGGCAGCAGUAGGGAAUCUUCCGCAAUGGACGAAAGUCCUGACGGAGCAACGCCCGCGUGAGCGAUGAAGGCCUUUCGGGUCGUAAAGCUCUGUUGUCAGGGAAGAACAAGUAUCGGAGUAACUGCCGGUACCUUGACGGUACCUGACCAGAAAGCCACGGCUAACUACGUGCCAGCAGCCGCGGUAAUACGUAGGUGGCAAGCGUUGUCCGGAAUUAUUGGGCGUAAAGCGCGCGCAGGCGGUUCCUUAAGUCUGAUGUGAAAGCCCCCGGCUCAACCGGGGAGGGUCAUUGGAAACUGGGGAACUUGAGUGCAGAAGAGGAGAGCGGAAUUCCACGUGUAGCGGUGAAAUGCGUAGAGAUGUGGAGGAACACCAGUGGCGAAGGCGGCUCUCUGGUCUGUAACUGACGCUGAGGCGCGAAAGCGUGGGGAGCGAACAGGAUUAGAUACCCUGGUAGUCCACGCCGUAAACGAUGAGUGCUAAGUGUUAGAGGGUUUCCGCCCUUUAGUGCUGCAGCAAACGCAUUAAGCACUCCGCCUGGGGAGUACGGCCGCAAGGCUGAAACUCAAAGGAAUUGACGGGGGCCCGCACAAGCGGUGGAGCAUGUGGUUUAAUUUCGAAGCAACGCGAAGAACCUUACCAGGUCUUGACAUCCUCUGACAACCCUAGAGAUAGGGCGUUCCCCUUCGGGGGGACAGAGUGACAGGUGGUGCAUGGUUGUCGUCAGCUCGUGUCGUGAGAUGUUGGGUUAAGUCCCGCAACGAGCGCAACCCUUGAUCUUAGUUGCCAGCAUUAAGUUGGGCACUCUAAGGUGACUGCCGGUGACAAACCGGAGGAAGGUGGGGAUGACGUCAAAUCAUCAUGCCCCUUAUGACCUGGGCUACACACGUGCUACAAUGGAUGGAACAAAGGGCAGCGAAGCCGCGAGGUGAAGCCAAUCCCAUAAAACCAUUCUCAGUUCGGAUUGCAGGCUGCAACUCGCCUGCAUGAAGCCGGAAUCGCUAGUAAUCGCGGAUCAGCAUGCCGCGGUGAAUACGUUCCCGGGCCUUGUACACACCGCCCGUCACACCACGAGAGUUUGUAACACCCGAAGUCGGUGGGGUA
rnacentral:rRNA from 2 species